rnacentral:misc_RNA from 1 species
AGCAGCCGCGGUAAUUCCAGCUCCAAUAGCGUAUAUUAAAGUUGUUGCAGUUAAAAAGCUCGUAGUUGAAUUUCGGGGUUAGUAGGUUGGUCAUGCCUCUGGUAUGUACUGGUCUCACUGAUUCCUCCUUCCUGAUGAACCUUAAUGCCAUUAAUUUGGUGUUGCGGGGAAUUUGGACUGUUACUUUGAAAAAAUUAGAGUGUUUAAAGCAAGCUAACGCUUGAAUACAUUAGCAUGGAAUAAUGAAAUAGGACGUUUGAUUCUAUUUUGUUGGUUUCUAGGAUCGACGUAAUGAUUAAUAGGGAUAGUUGGGGGCAUUAGUAUUCAAUUGUCAGAGGUGAAAUUCUUGGAUUUAUUGAAGACUAACUACUGCGAAAGCAUUUGCCAAGGAUGUUUUCAUUAAUCAAGAACGAAAGUUAGGGGAUCGAAGACGAUCAGAUACCGUCGUAGUCUUAACCAUAAACUAUGCCGACUAGGGAUCGGACGAUGUUAAUUUUUUUAAUGACCCGUUCGGCGCCUU